GGCGAGGUAGCUCAGCUGGUUAGAGCGCAGGAUUCAUAAUCCUGAGGUCGGCGGUUCAAGCCCGCCUCUCGCUACAA
rnacentral:tRNA from 1 species